CAGAUGAAUGACUGAGAGGUUGAAAGUAUCAAUUUUGAAAAUUGACAUAAGUUUGUCUUAUCGUAGGUUCGAAUCCUACUUCAUCUGA
rnacentral:tRNA from 1 species